rnacentral:rRNA from 1 species
AUAAUACUCCAUAGAUUAGAGACACUGGAAUGUUCUUUAGUCGAAAGUUCUGGCGCCUUAGGAUGGAUCUGCGGUCGAUUAGGUUGUUGUUGGGGUAACGGCCCAACAAGCCUGUAAUCGAUACGGGUUGUGGGAGCAAGAGCCCGGAGAUGGAAUCUGAGACACGAUUCCAGGCCCUACGGGGCGCAGCAGGCGCGAAAACUUUACAAUGCAGGAAACUGUGAUAAGGGAACUCCGAGUGCCCGUAUACGCGGGCUGUCCAGGUGUUUAAAAAUCAUCUGAAGAUAGGGCCGGGCAAGACCGGUGCCAGCCGCCGCGGUAAUACCGGCGGCUCGAGUGGUGGCCACUAUUAUUGGGCUUAAAGCGUCCGUAGCUGGACCGAUAAGUCUCUUGGGAAAUCCGCCGGCUCAACCGGCGGGCGUCUAAGGGAUACUGUUAGUCUAGGGACCGGGAGAGGUGAGAGGUACUCCGGGGGUAGGAGUGAAAUCCUGUAAUCCCCGGGGGACCACCGAUGGCGAAGGCAUCUCACCAGAACGGCUCCGACAGUGAGGGACGAAAGCUGGGGGAGCGAACCGGAUUAGAUACCCGGGUAGUCCCAGCCGUAAACUAUGCGCGUUAGGUGU